rnacentral:rRNA from 1 species
UACGUAGGGUGCAAGCGUUGUCCGGAAUUAUUGGGCGUAAAGAGCUCGUAGGCGGUCUGUCGCGUCGGCUGUGAAAUCCCGAGGCUCAACCUCGGGUCUGCAGUCGAUACGGGCAAACUAGAGUAUUGCAGGGGAGACUGGAAUUCCUGGUGUAGCGGUGAAAUGCGCAGAUAUCAGGAGGAACACCGGUGGCGAAGGCGGGUCUCUGGGCAACAACUGACGCUGAGGAGCGAAAGCGUGGGGAGCGAACAGG